rnacentral:rRNA from 1 species
CAGAAACUACAAAGGAAGUUGACGGGGGCCCGGCACAAGCGGUGGAGCAUGUGGUUUAAUUCGAUGAUACGCGAGGAACCUUACCUGGGCUCAAAUGUAUGUUGACGUAUUCUGAAAGGGAUACUUCUUCGGACAAUAUACAAGGUGCUGCAUGGUUGUCGUCAGCUCGUGCCGUGAGGUGUCGGGUUAAGUCCCAUAACGAGCGCAACCCCUAUCAUUAGUUGCCAUCAGGUCAAGCUGGGGACUCUAAUGAAACUGCCUACGCAAGUAGUGAGGAAGUGGGGAUGACGUCAAAUCAGCACGGCCCUUACGUCCAGGGCUACACACGUGCUACAAUGGCCGGUACAAAGGGCAGCUACCUGGUGACAGGAUGCCAAUCUCAAAAGCCGGUCUCAGUUCGGAUCGGAGUCUGCAACCCGACUCCGCGAAGCUGGAAUCGCUAGUAAUCGCGCAUCAGCCAUGGCGCGGUGAAUACGUUCCCGGGCCUU